GUCCCGUUCGUCUAGUGGCCUAGGACGCCAGCCUCUCACGUUGGAAACACGGGUUCGAGUCCCGUACGGGGCGCCA
rnacentral:tRNA from 2 species